CCUACGGGUGACAGCAGUGAGGAAUAUUGGUCAAUGGACGCAAGUCUGAACCAGCCAUGCCGCGUGCAGGAAGACGGCUCUAUGAGUUGUAAACUGCUUUUGUACGAGGGUAAACGCAGAUACGUGUAUCUGUCUGAAAGUAUCUUACGAAUAAGGAUCGGCUAACUCCGUGCCAGCAGCCGCGGUAAUACGGAGGAUUCAAGCGUUAUCCGGAUUUAUUGGGUUUAAAGGGUGCGUAGGCGGUCGGAUAAGUUAGAGGUGAAAUCCCGAGGCUCAACCUCGGAAUUGCAUUUGAUACUGUCCGGCUAGAGAGCAGUUGCGGUAGGCGGAAUGUAUGGUGUAGCGGUGAAAUGCUUAGAGAUCAUACAGAACACCGAUUGCGAAGGCAGCCUACCAAGCUACUUCUGACGUUGAGGCACGAAAGCGUGGGGAGCAAACAGGAUUAGAUACCCCUGUAGUC
rnacentral:rRNA from 1 species